AGCAGAUCCAGCGGGGAUCACGCUGCUGCCCAGUGCCCUGUCAACCAGUGCCAGCUUCACCAUCAGUCUCUUCCAAAUGAUUAAUUACUCAGUAGUGUACCUACACUGCGAUCUCAGUGUCUGCCUGAGGAACCACUCCGACUGCGAAAGGCAAUGCCUCCAGCAGAGGAGUACAUUUCCCUCAGACGGUCCCAGGAAUAUUGUCACCAAUCUCAGAAAUCGCAUAUCCUUCGGUCCCAUGCUGAAACAAGUGAAGAAUUCUACCUUCCCGGAGGAGAUAGACCCAUCAGAGCUGGACCUGGCUCUGGUCAUUGUCAGCAUGGUGGCUGGCUCCUCUCUUGUCACGGUGAUGCUGCUGCUGGUGUGGCUGGCCUACCGUCGCCGGGCAAUCUGGCUGCUCCACUCGGCAGCUCCAACACGGGCCUGCUGCGGCUGUCUACGCCCAGGAGGUGACUUGAUCCUGCCGUGACCAAGGAGGAACCUCUGCCAAUUACACUGAUCAAGACCCCUCCAAAACAGCCGCAGACAAUUACAUUAGUCAACCGACAGUGGAGCAGUCAAUCAUAUUAGCCGUAGAGCGGAGGCGGUCAGUCGCAUCAGGCCAGACUGGACAAUGAGGAGCAAUCCAAUUCACACCUCCUCUUAUAGGUGGCACAGCUGUUGCAGUCAAAAUUCACACUUAACCAUCAGCAGUCUAUUAUCAUCCACUGAAAAUAAAUAGCAUCUCCAAAUAGAAAAGCUGCUCUGAUCCCUUUAUUUUCCCUUAGUGGCAAGAAAUCAAUACGCUCUGAUUGAUAGCUUGUUAAUGAAGGUUUAAAAUAAUAUAUACAUUCAUGGCUUGACAUCUACUAUAUUGAGCCUCUGUAAGACUCUGUAAGACGACUGUAAGCCUCUGUGUGGACUAUUGAGGAAAUUGUCAUGUCAUUUAUUAUGUCAACAGAACACGUAACAGCCCUGCACUGUUUUAUGUACAGAUAUACUGUAAUUAUGAUGUGGCACACAAUCUAAAAUUGUUAAUAUACCCUUUAAUAAUGGAACACAUACUUACAUUGCAGUUCCUCCACAUAGAUCUGCCUCUCAAAUGGAAUUCUUGAUCAUUAUUGACUGACUUUAAUUUAUGCUCUGAAUUUCUGACCUGAAUCCAUAAUAAUCAUGGUGAAAUAAUACAUGAUAGGAAAAAGCUGUCUUAUUUGUGGAAUUGUGUCUCACAUUACAUCCCAUCAUCCAUUUUUAAGUGUAUCAGAGAAAUAACAUUAUUUACUUACAUCACUAGGAUUAUUUUUUCUUCCCUCAUCAUGCAUGUAGGUGCACAGCUAUGAAGAAAGCUGACAAACUCCUAAUAAAGGUUGAAGACAG